rnacentral:rRNA from 1 species
GAUGAACGCUGGCGGCGUGCCUAAUACAUGCAAGUCGAGCGAACAGAUAAGGAGCUUGCUCCUUUGACGUUAGCGGCGGACGGGUGAGUAACACGUGGGUAACCUACCUAUAAGACUGGAAUAACUCCGGGAAACCGGGGCUAAUGCCGGAUAACAUUUAGAACCGCAUGGUUCUACAGUGAAAGAUGGUUUUGCUAUCACUUAUAGAUGGACCCCCGCCGUAUUAGCUAGUUGGUAAGGUAACGGUUUACCAAGGCAACGAUACGUAGCCGACCUGAGAAGGUGAGUAGCCAGACUGGAACAGAGACACGGUUCAGAGUCCUACAGGAAGGAGCAGUAGGGAAUCUUCCGCAAUGGGCGAAGGCCUGACGGAGCAACGCCGCGUGAGUGAUGAAGGUCUUGGUAUCGUAAAACUCUGGUAUUAGGGAAGAACAAAUGUGUAAGUAACUGUGCACGUCUUAACGAUACCUAAUCAGAAAGCCACGGCUAACUACGUG